CCAAGGAGUCUAACAUGUGCGCGAGUCACUCGGUCUUGUUUAGGCCAGAGAGGCACAAUGAAAGUAAAGUUUGUUAAGUUACGAUCUCUAUGCAGUUAUCUCCUCAGUGAGUGACGGUAGAGCGCAGUAACGGCCCGCCAAUUUCGCCUAUUGACGAUCUGGCGGAGUUGUAGCGUACACGUUGGUACCCGAAAGAUGGUGAACUAUGCCUGGGCAAGACGAAGCCAGAGGAAACUCUGGUGGAGGUCUGUAGCGAUUCUGACGUGCAAAUCGAUCGUCAGACCUGGGUAUAGGGGCGAAAGACUAAUCGAACCAUC
rnacentral:rRNA from 1 species